rnacentral:rRNA from 1 species
AGAGUUUGAUCAUGGCUCAGAUUGAACGCUGGCGGCAUGCCUUACACAUGCAAGUCGAACGGCAGCACGGGAGCAAUCCUGGUGGCGAGUGGCGAACGGGUGAGUAAUGUAUCGGAACGUACCUUUCAGUGGGGGAUAACGUAGCGAAAGUUACGCUAAUACCGCAUAUUCUGUGAGCAGGAAAGCAGGGGAUCGCAAGACCUUGCGCUGAUUGAGCGGCCGAUAUCAGAUUAGCUAGUUGGUGGGGUAAAAGCUCACCAAGGCGACGAUCUGUAGCGGGUCUGAGAGGAUGAUCCGCCACACUGGAACUGAGACACGGUCCAGACUCCUACGGGAGGCAGCAGUGGGGAAUUUUGGGCAAUGGGGGCAACCCUGAUCCAGCCAUGCCGCGUGAGUGAAGAAGGCCUUCGGGUUGUAAAGCUCUUUCGGCCGGGAAGAAAUCGCAUUGGUUAAUACCCGGUGUGGAUGACGGUACCGGAAUAAGAAGCACCGGCUAACUACGUGCCAGCAGCCGCGGUAAUACGUAGGGUGCGAGCGUUAAUCGGAAUUACUGGGCGUAAAGCGUGCGCAGGCGGUUUGUUAAGAUAGGCGUGAAAUCCCCGGGCUCAACCUGGGAACUGCGUUUAUGACUGGCAGGCUAGAGUAUGGCAGAGGGGGGUGGAAUUCCACGUGUAGCAGUGAAAUGCGUAGAGAUGUGGAGGAACACCGAUGGCGAAGGCAGCCCCCUGGGCCAAUAUCUGACGCUCAUGCACGAAAGC